rnacentral:misc_RNA from 1 species
GUAUUUUGUUAUAUUUCCAAGUCAACCAUUUAUCAGGCAAACACUUUUCUGAAAUUUCCUAUCUAGUUGUGAUUGUUUGUUUGUCAAGUGCUUCCCCCCCCCAAAAAGAGAAGAAAACACUUGUUGAUAAAAUUCUUUGAUGAUCCCUCCGCAGGUUCACCUACGGAGA